GACGAACGCUGGCGGCGUGCCUAAUACAUGCAAGUCGAACGCUGAAGGAGGAGCUUGCUUCUCUGGAUGAGUUGCGAACGGGUGAGUAACGCGUAGGUAACCUGCCUGGUAGCGGGGGAUAACUAUUGGAAACGAUAGCUAAUACCGCAUAAGAGUAGAUGUUGCAUGACAUUUGCUUAAAAGGUGCAAUUGCAUCACUACCAGAUGGACCUGCGUUGUAUUAGCUAGUUGGUGGGGUAACGGCUCACCAAGGCGACGAUACAUAGCCGACCUGAGAGGGUGAUCGGCCACACUGGGGCUGAGACACGGCCCAGACUCCUACGGGAGGCAGCAGUAGGGAAUCUUCGGCAAUGGAGGGAAGGCUGACCGAGCAACGCCGGGGGAGUGAAGAAGGGUUUCGGAUCGUAAAGCUCUGUUGUAAGAGAAGAACGAGUGUGAGAGUGGAAAGUUCACACUGUGACGGUAUCUUACCAGAAAGGGACGGCUAACUACGUG
rnacentral:rRNA from 1 species